UUUGAAAUCUGGCCCCCGCGGUCCGAGUUGUAAUUUGUAGAGGAUGCUUUUGGCGCGGUGCCUUCCGAGUUCCCUGGAACGGGACGCCACAGAGGGUGAGAGCCCCGUCUGGUUGGACACCAAGCCUCUGUAAAGCUCCUUCGACGAGUCGAGUAGUUUGGGAAUGCUGCUCAAAAUGGGAGGUAUAUGUCUUCUAAAGCUAAAUACCGGCCAGAGACCGAUAGCGCACAAGUAGAGUGAUCGAAAGAUGAAAAGCACUUUGAAAAGAGGGUUAAACAGUACGUGAAAUUGUUGAAAGGGAAGCGUUUGUGACCAGACUUGGGCCCGGUCAAUCACCCGGCGUUCUCGCCGGUGCACUUGGCCGGCCCAGGCCAGCAUCAGUUCGCCGCGGGGGAUAAAGGCGGCGGGAACGUAGCUCCUCGGAGUGUUAUAGCCCGCCGCGCAAUGCCCUGUGGGGGACUGAGGUCCGCGCAUCUGCAAGGAUGCUGGCAUAAUGGUCAUCAACGACCCGUCUUGAAACACGGACCAAGGAGUCGUCUUCGUAUGCGAGUGUUCGGGUGUCAAACCCCUACGCGGAAUGAAAGUGAACGCAGGUGAGAGCCUCACGGCGCAUCAUCGACCGAUCCUGAUGUUCUCGGAUGGAUUUGAGUAAGAGCAUACGGGGCCGGACCCGAAAGAAGGUGAACUAUGCCUGUAUAGGGUGAAGCCAGAGGAAACUCUGGUGGAGGCUCGCAGCGGUUCUGACGUGCAAAUCGAUCGUCAAAUAUGGGCA
rnacentral:rRNA from 1 species